GCACCCGUAGCUCAGCUGGAUAGAGUACUCGGCUACGAACCGAGCGGUCGGAGGUUCGAAUCCUCCCGGGUGCA
rnacentral:tRNA from 1 species